CAGCCGCCGCGGUAAUACGAAGGGGGCUAGCGUUGUUCGGAUUUACUGGGCGUAAAGGGCGCGUAGGCGGACUGAUAAGUCAGGGGUGAAAUCCCAAGGCUCAACCUUGGAACUGCCUUUGAUACUGUUUGUCUUGAGUUCGAGAGAGGUAAGUGGAACUGCGAGUGCAGAGGUGAAAUUCGUAGAUAUUCGCAAGAACACCAGUGGCGAAGGCGGCUUACUGGCUCGAAACUGACGCUGAGGCGCGAAAGCGCGGGGAGCAAACAGGAUUAGAUACCCGAGUAGUCCCUGUCUCUUAUAA
rnacentral:rRNA from 1 species